GAUGAACGCUAGCGGCAGGCUUAAUACAUGCAAGUCGUGGGGCAGCAGGACUGUAGCAAUACAGUUGCUGGCGACCGGCAAACGGGUGCGGAACACGUACGCAACUUACCCUGAACUGGGGGAUAGUCCGGGGAAACCCGGAUUAAUACCCCGUAAUAUAAUGGAGUGGCAUCACUUUAUUAUUAAAGCUUCGGCGGUUCGGGAUGGGCGUGCGGCUGAUUAGGUAGUUGGUUGAGGUAACGGCUCACCAAGCCUACGAUCAGUAACUGGUGUGAGAGCACGACCAGUCACACGUGAACUGAGACACGGGCCCGACUCCUACGGGAGGCAGCAGUAAGGAGUAUUGUGCAAUGGAGGCAACUCUGACCCAGCCAUGCCGCGUGUAGGAUGAAUGCCCUCUGGGUUGUAAACUUCUUUUAUAGAGGACGAAACCUGUGUAUUCUUACGCAGUUGACGGUACCCUAGGAAUAAGCACCGGCUAACUCCGUG
rnacentral:rRNA from 1 species